CCGAAGAGUUCCUUCAUUAGACUUCCUCCAUUUUCUCAUACGGUUGAAAAACAAUGUUUUACGUACUUAUUUUCUUCUGUUUAUGGCAUCUGGUUGAUUCAGAUGAAAUGAAGAUGUCAGUGAUGGAGGGAGAUUCUGUUACUCUACACACUAGUGUUACUGGUAUACGCACACAAAAUAUAAGUUACAUACAGUGGACGUUUGGACCUGAAAAAACAUUAAUAGCCAUACAAUUUAAUAAGGGGGUACCUGUAAUUAAUUAUUUCAAUGCUGAGAGAUUUAGAGACAGACUUAAGAUCGACCACCAAACUGGAUCUCUGGCUAUCAGGAACAUCAGAACCACAGACUCUGGACUUUAUGAGCUACAGAUGAUAAAAUACAUAUCGUUUUUUUUCAAUGUUACUGUCUAUGCUUGUCUGCCCGUUCCUGUUAUCAUCAGAAACUCUUCAAACUGCUCAUCCUCAUCUUCAGGAUCGUCAAGUCAGAAUUGUUCUUUGCUGUGUUCAGUGUUGAAUGUGAGUCAUGUGACUCUCUCCUGGUACAAAGGAAACAGUUUAUUGACCAGCAUUAGUGUGUCUGAUCUCAUCAGCAGCAUUUCUCUACCUCUGGAGGUGGAAUAUCAGGAUAAAAACACUUACAGUUGUGUGCUGAACAAUCCCAUCAGCAACCAGACUCAACAUCUGGACAUUAGUCGGUUUUGUCAGACACGUGGAGGUGCGUCAAGAUACUCUGUUCACUGUUGCGGUUUCAUUGAGGCUGUGAUUCGACUGGUCAUCUCUGCUGUGGUGGGCGUGGCUACUGUUGCCAUAGUGGUUUAUGACAUCAAAUCCAGAAAAGCUGAGAGAAGUGCAGAACAUCACAAUCAGUCCCUAAAUGAUGGUUAUGAAAAUCCUGGAGAUAAAGAAUUUAACAAUCACUGGACUAGAAAUUAAUUCAGUCUUGAUGAAAUUUAAAUAUAAAUAUUUUCUGCUGUAAAAAUGUUUCAUUAUUGAUCUUUCAUGGAGUAAAACGUACUUGCAAGUCAUACAGUUCAACUGGUGACUAAGCUGUUCUUUUGAGUCGGUUUUUUUUAAUGAAUCAGUCAAAUGGUUCACAAAGCGCUCAUGACGAUUCCUUAAUUAGUCUGAAUUAAAAUUAUUCUUACCCUAUAGCCAAACUAUUGGAAAAGCCAGCAGAUUGUUGAAGGGUUUCCUGGAGAUAAUUGUAUAUGCUCAAAUGCUAACAUAUUAAAUAAUAUUAAAGAAUCUGUAUCCCUGUGAUAAUGGAAAUCAAAGGAUAUGACGAUUCUGGUUGUCUUGUACAGCUGUGCCAUCUACUGGUUUCUUCUUAGAUAACAGGAUUUCAUGGUUAAUGUACUACUGAAAGGCAUUGUUCUGCUAAUUUAUGCUGUCUGAACCACAGAAAAAAACGUGUUGAGGCUGCUAAAUCAUAUAGAGAGAAGGACUUAGUAAGCAGGAAGAGGUGCAAUAUUUUAACUAAAGUUAAUAGGUGGUAAAGAUAUGUAUGAGCAGUAUUAAUUAAGAUAUCACCUACCUGAUGAUGAAAACUAAUACAAAUGUUGUCAAGUUUACUGCCCUUGAAAUCCUGGUUCAGUUUGGCCAACCACAAACUCCUUUUGUUUCUCAGACUUUUUUUUGUUUUUUUUUUUGUUUUGCACUCUUCCUUGAUUUGUUAUAACUUUUGGCAGUCUAUAGUACUCCAAAUGUUUUUUUUUCUGGUCUGACCGAUUAGUACAGUCUAAAACAUGAUAAUAAUUAACCAUUUUCAGCAGCAAUAAUCAGCAAAAUAAGCGAGUUUACUUUGCUUCAGUGGCGUUGUUUACAUUCAGUGAGGCCCACUGAUAACGCAUUGAGAAAACUAUAUUCAAACACGCAACUUUCAACCCUCUCUCUCUCAAAAUUGCAUCACUGGAUAUAUCUGUCAAUCAUUUUACGUUUCUACUGUAAAACAGCUGACUAAUAUUCAAAGAUUUUCAACUAACAUCUUACAUCGCUCUUUCGACGAUUUGUCCUGGGAUUCGCGCUCUUUUCCCUGAACAGUAAACCCCGCCCACUAUGAUUUGAUUGGUCAUCUCAGUUAUUCUGACGUUGAUGAGCGCUAUUAUAUUGUUUUUAUUUUCUCGUUUACUUACUGAGCCUCUCAUCAAUCGUGUUGUGCACCAAGUUAUUCACACGUACUUAAAAACUGACAAAAAUGUUGUUUUUUUGCUGUUUGUAUUAGCCGAUCUAGUAAGACUAUAGACUGUAAAAAACAUGGACGUAGUGUCCGUGACGUCACCCGUAGGUUUCCGAAGAGCAUUUUUGAAGCUCUUAGUGGGCGGGAGUCGGCCGUCGCCAUCUUGGAAUCGCGUCACUGUACGUCACUCCCGGAUAAUCGAAAAUGGGCACAUAGGCGGGACGUGGGUGGAGCUGGUUGCUGAAACCACGCCCGCCGAGCGCGACGGUGGUGACAGCAGCGGCAAUCCACCUGUCACUCAAGUGACCACGCCCUAAAUUAUGCAGAACUUUAAGGCUUAAUAUAAAUUAAACGGAUGAGUUAUAAAAAAAUUCACUCCCCUCAGAGUUGACAUGAAGGGCAAAAUUAGCUAUAUAGACCAAAACCACUUUUUGAACCAGGCUGUAAACAUAUUCUUUUCUGCUGUGAAGUUGGGCAUUUUAACAUGGGGAGUCUAUGGGAUUGACUCCCUUUUGCAGCCAGCCUCAAGCGGCCAGUCGAUGAAUUGCAGUUUUAGUCACUUCCGUGUUGGCUUCAAGAGGGAGAGCGGGAGGUUGCCACUUGAGUAAGACCUAAGAGAUAUUGAGCAACGGGACAAGCUGUUCUUCUUAUUGACUUCCUCCAUUAUCUCAUGCGGUUGAAAAAAUGUUUUGUGCUUUAAUUUUCUUAUGUUUCUUGCAUCUGGUUGAUGCUGUGAAGAUAGUGUCAGUGACAGAGGGAGAGUCUGUCACUCUACACACCAAUAUACCGAGACAUGAAGAUGGUUUACAUAGAUUUUAUAUAUAUUCUCUUCAGUGGAGUUGGUUUAGACCUGAAGAUUCUCAACGCGUUAGAGUCAUUUGGUUUGAUGUGCGGAGAAGUCAUAUUAGAUAUGAUCAUGAUGAGAUAUUCAGAGACAGACUACAGAUAGACAACCAAACUGGAUCUCUGACCAUCAAGAACAUCAGAACCACAGACUCUGGACUUUAUCAAAUGAUCAACAAUCACCUAUCAGUAGAAUCAUUCAAUGUUACAGUCUAUGCUCAUCUUCCCAUUCCUGUCAUCACCAGAUACUCUACAUGUUCUUCAUCAUCAGGAUCAUCAAACCAGAAAUGUUCAUUGGUGUGUUCUGUGUUGAAUGUGAGUCAUGUGACUCUCUCCUGGUACAAAGGAAACAGUUUAUUGUCCAACAUCAGUGUGUCUGAUCUCAAAAACAGUACAUCUCUACCUCUGGACGUGGAGUAUCAGGAUAAAAACACUUACAGUUGUAUAGUAAACAAUCCCAUCAGCAACCAGACCAAACAUCUGAAUAUUAGUGAACUCUGCCAGACAUGUGCAGAUGCUGUGAAGAUAGUGUCAGUGACAGAGGGAGAGUCUGUCACUCUACACACCAAUAUACCAAGACAUGAAGAUGGUUUACAUAGAUUUUAUAUAUAUUCUCUUCAGUGGAGUUGGUUUAGACCUGAAGAUUCUCAACGCGUUAGAGUCAUUUGGUUUGAUGUGCAGAGAGGUCAUAUUAGAUAUGAUCAUGAUGAGAUAUUCAGAGACAGACUACAGAUAGACAACCAAACUGGAUCUCUGACCAUCAAGAACAUCAGAACCACAGACUCUGGACUUUAUCAAAUGAUCAACAAUCACCUAUCAGUAGAAUCAUUCAAUGUUACAGUCUAUGACUCUGUUUAGUGUUACAGUUUCACUGAAGCUGUGAUUCGACUGGUCAUCUCUGCUGUGGUGGGAGUGACUGCUGUUGCAAUAGUGAUUUAUGACAUCAGAUCCAGAAGAGCUGAGCAGCUAAGCAAAGAGAAAACAUGAGAAUAUAGACUCUUUUCCAUUCUUUUCUUUAUGUUAUUUUGAAAAUCUCUGAAAAACACAGAAAACAUUUCCUUGUGAUUACGCUUAUAUAAACUUUAUAAUUCUUGCGCUAUAAUUUCUACCACCAAACAAAUGUUUAAGUUCUGCUUUCUUGGUCUUUUUUCCCCAUUUAAAAUUGGGCAAUAUUAGAAGUUUAUAAAGAUGGACUGCAAAUUUCUGUUCUCUAUGAUACUAAAAUAAAAUGUAAAUAAUAUUAA